rnacentral:rRNA from 1 species
UACGUAGGGUGCAAGCGUUGUCCGGAAUUAUUGGGCGUAAAGAGCUCGUAGGCGGUUUUGUCGCGUCUGCUGUGAAAACUCGGGGCUUAACUCCGGGCCUGCAGUGGGUACGGGCAGACUAGAGUGCGGUAGGGGGAGACUGGAAUUCCUGGUGUAGCGGUGAAAUGCGCAGAUAUCAGGAGGAACACCGGUGGCGAAGGCGGUUCUCUGGGCAUGUCCUGACGCUGAGGAGCGAAAGUGUGGGGGAGCGAACAGG